rnacentral:rRNA from 1 species
GAGAUAGUAAAUAUUAUUAGUUUAUCAGUUGAAUUUUUAAUUUCCUUUAAUAUUAUUAUUUUUAGGUGAAAUUUUAAUUUUAUAAUAAAAGGAUUUAUUUGAAGCUGUGAAAUCUAUAUAAAAAACGAGGAUUAGAUACCCUUUUAUUUUAGAUGUAAACAUAAACUUGGGUAGUAAUAGUUAUGUUCUUGAAACCCAAAGAAUUUGGCGGUAUUUUAUUCUUCUUAGAGGAACCUGUCCUGUAAUUGAUAAUCCACGAUAGAAUUUACUUAUUUUUGCUUUCAUUUUGUAUACCUCCGUCAUCAGAGUAUCCUUUUAGGGAUUUAAUAUUCUAUGUAUACAGAAUAUAAUAUGUCAGGUCAAGGUGCAAUUUAUAGAUAAGAAGAGAUGGGUUACAAUAAAUUUAUUUAAACGGAUUAAUACUUUUAACUGGUAUUAUUAAGGUGGAUUUAAAAGUAAAAUUAAUUAAUUUAUUAAUUUGACUUUAGCUCUAAAAUAUGCACACAUCGCCCGUCGCUCUUAUUUUAAAAUAAGAUAAGUCGUAACACAGUAGGUGUACCGGAAGGUGUUCCUAGAAAGUGAA